ACGUACACUCCUACGGGAGGCAGCAGUGGGGAAUAUUGCACAAUGGGCGCAAGCCUGAUGCAGCCAUGCCGCGUGUAUGAAGAAGGCCUUCGGGUUGUAAAGUACUUUCAGCGGGGAGGAAGGCGAUAAGGUUAAUAACCUUGUCGAUUGACGUUACCCGCAGAAGAAGCACCGGCUAACUCCGUGCCAGCAGCCGCGGUAAUACGGAGGGUGCAAGCGUUAAUCGGAAUUACUGGGCGUAAAGCGCACGCAGGCGGUCUGUCAAGUCGGAUGUGAAAUCCCCAGGCUCAACCUGGGAACUGCAUUCGAAACUGGCAGGCUAGAGUCUUGUAGAGGGGGGUAGAAUUCCAGGUGUAGCGGUGAAAUGCGUAGAGAUCUGGAGGAAUACCGGUGGCGAAGGCGGCCCCCUGGACAAAGACUGACGCUCAGGUGCGAAAGCGUGGGGAGCAAACAGGAUUAGAAACCCCAGUAGUCCCAUG
rnacentral:rRNA from 1 species